rnacentral:rRNA from 1 species
GACGAACGCUGGCGGCGUGCUUAACACAUGCAAGUCGAACGGAAAGGCCCUGCUUUUGUGGGGUGCUCGAGUGGCGAACGGGUGAGUAACACGUGAGUAACCUGCCCUUGACUUUGGGAUAACUUCAGGAAACUGGGGCUAAUACCGGAUAGGAGCUCCUGCUGCAUGGUGGGGGUUGGAAAGUUUCGGCGGUUGGGGAUGGACUCACGGCUUAUCAGCUUGUUGGUGGGGUAGUGGCUUACCAAGGCUUUGACGGGUAGCUGGCCUGAGAGGGUGACCGGCCACAUUGGGACUGAGAUACGGCCCAGACUCCUACGGGAGGCAGCAGUGGGGAAUAUUGCACAAUGGGCGGAAGCCUGAUGCAGCAACGCCGCGUGCGGGAUGACGGCCUUCGGGUUGUAAACCGCUUUCGCCUGUGACGAAGCGUGAGUGACGGUAAUGGGUAAAGAAGCACCGGCUAACUACGUG